rnacentral:rRNA from 1 species
UACGGAGGGUGCGAGCGUUAAUCGGAAUUACUGGGGCGUAAAAGCGCACGCAGGCGGUUUUGUUAAGCAAGAUGUGAAAGCCCCCGGGGCUCAACCUGGGGAACUGCAUUUUUGAACUGGCAGACUAGAGUCUUGGAGAGGGGGGGGUGGAAUUCCAGGUGUAGCGGUGAAAUGCGUAGAGAUCUGGAGGAACAUCAGUGGCGAAGGCGGCCCCCCUGGCCAAAGACUGACGCUCAUGUGCGAAAAGUGUGGGUAGCGAACAGGAUUAGAUACCCGUGUAGUCC